rnacentral:SRP_RNA from 1 species
UGUUGGUUCUCCCGCAACGCUACUCUGUUUACCAGGUCAGGUCCGGAAGGAAGCAGCCAGAGCAGACUACGUGUGUGCCGGGAUGUAGCUGGCAGGG